CAGAAAGUAGUUUACUUGAGAAUAUCAGCUUUGGGAGCUGGAGAAGGAGGUUUAAGUCCUCUCUUUCUGA
rnacentral:tRNA from 1 species